rnacentral:misc_RNA from 1 species
GUCCUCAUUCUGAUUUUCUUUAUGAUCUUGCUAGAAGGGGACAUCCUGUUAUUGAUUCCAGCCAGCUUCUUGAUGAUAUGAGAGCACAGAAAGUAAUCAGAUUUCAAGAUUCCAGCCAAAACUGGUUGACGUAUUGGUGAAAGCUUAUGUUACAAAGAAGUGUUUGGAAUACAAGUAUGAUUCCUGGAUAGUAGACACAAACAUACUUUUUGUCAAUAAUGAUUUAUUUCAUGAGUUCAUCAAAACAUGUAAUUAUGACUUUUGUGCUGGGAAAAGCUUGGAGAUUUUCUUUGUCAGGAGCUCAUCUUCUGCUCAAAAAAUUUGGACUGAUGGUUUCUUGAACAAGGUUGCUGCUGCAGUUGGUCAGGCUUCAUUGCCCAGAGAGAGUAGAAACUUUGUUCAAUUUGUGGAAAAGUUGUUGCAACAGACUGGUGCAAGAAUUAACCGGGUUGAUGAGACAAGCUUUGGCAUGAAGAUUAGUGCCAAUAGCGUUAAUCAAUCCUCUUUGGAGGCUGCGAAGAUGGUUUAUUGGUCUAUGGAUAUGGGUCUGAAUUUAGUUCAAAAGCCGCUUGAAGGAUUGGGUAUGUGGGCUCUAGAUGGUGACUCUUCCUGCAAGGCUGUUGUUUGCCACCAAUCAUAGCCUUUGAUGGUGGACUUUUUUUUUGUUUUUUUUUUUGUAAGCUUUACC